rnacentral:rRNA from 1 species
GUAGGUGGCGAGCGUUGUCCGGGAAUUAUUGGGGCGUAAAGCGCGCGCAGGCGGUUCUUUAAGUCUGAUGUGAAAGCCCACGGGCUCAACCGUGGAGGGUCAUCGGAAACUGGAGAACUUGAGUACAGAAGAGGAAAGCGGAAUUCCACGUGUAGCGGUGAAAUGCGUAGAGAUGUGGAGGAACACCAGUGGCGAAGGCGGCUUUCUGGUCUGUAACUGACGCUGAGGCGCGAAAGCGUGGGGAGCAAACAGGAUUAGAUACCCUGGUAGUCCACGCCGUAAACGAUGAGUGCUAAGUGUUAGGGGGUUUCCGCCCCUUAGUGCUGCAGCUAACGCAUUAAGCACUCCGCCUGGGGAGUACGGCCGCAAAGGCUGA